CCUACGGGAGGCAGCAGUGAGGAAUAUUGGUCAAUGGCCGUAAGGCUGAACCAGCCAAGUCGCGUGAAGGAAGAAGGAUCUAUGGUUUGUAAACUUCUUUUAUAGGGGAAUAAAGGUAUCCACGUGUGGAUAUUUGCAUGUACCCUAUGAAUAAGCAUCGUCUAACUCCGUGCCAGCAGCCGCGGUAAUACGGAGGAUGCGAGCGUUAUCCGGAUUUAUUGGGUUUAAAGGGUGCGUAGGUUGUUUUUUAAGUCAGCGGGGAAAGUUUGUGGCUCAACCAUAAAAUUGCCGUUGAAACUGGAAGACUUGAGUGUGUUUGAGGUAGGCGGAAUGCGUGGUGUAGCGGUGAAAUGCAUAGAUAUCACGCAGAACUCCGAUUGCGAAGGCAGCUUACUAAGCCAUAACUGACACUGAAGCACGAAAGCGUGGGGAUCAAACAGGAUUAGAUACCCCAGUAGUC
rnacentral:rRNA from 1 species